rnacentral:rRNA from 1 species
CUGGCGGCGUGCCUAACACAUGCAAGUCGAACGAGAAAGUGGAGCAAUCCAUGAGUACAGUGGCGUACGGGUGAGUAACACGUGACUAACCUACCCUCGAGUGGGGAAUAACUUCGGGAAACCGAGGCUAAAACCGCAUAACAUCUACGGAUCAAAUGCGCAAGCAGCUUGAGGAGGGGGUCGCGGCUGAUUAGCUAGUUGGCGGGGUAACGGCCCACCAAGGCAAUGAUCAGUAGCCGGCCUGAGAGGGCGCACGGCCACACUGGAACUGAAACACGGUCCAGACUCCUACGGGAGGCAGCAGUGGGGAAUUUUGCGCAAUGGGGGAAACCCUGACGCAGCAACGCCGCGUGGAGGAUGAAGCCCUUUGGGGCGUAAACUCCUUUCGAUCGGGACGAUUAUGACGGUACCGGAUGAAGAAGCACCGGCUAGCUCUGUGCCAGCAGCCGCGGUAAUACAGAGGGUGCAAGCGUUGUUCGGAAUUAUUGGGCGUAAAGGGUGCGUANGCGGUGCGGUAAGUCUUCUGUGAAACCUCCGGGCUCAACUCG